rnacentral:lncRNA from 1 species
AUAUAAAUUAAUAAGUUGGAUAUUUUCUUCUAGUAGCAAAAACUAUCCUUACAAGUUGCAACUUACAAGUAUACAACAUUUAUACACACAAACAAUGUGCGAAAAUCAACCUUCUAAUGUAACAAAUUCUCCAACCACUAUCCAACACGUUUACAUGUGUCCUAUGAAACAUCACACUACAAUUACAUACGCCGAGUAAAUUCUAUUGUCUAGACAUCGGUGCCAUCGGUUGGCUAGUGUACCCACCUUCCAUUUGAUAAUUAUGGUAACCGCCAGGUGGUGGCGGCACCACCGCCGGUGUGUAUGAAGAACCACUGUUGA